rnacentral:rRNA from 1 species
ACUUGCUCCCGGAUGUUAGCGGCGGACGGGUGAGUAACACGUGGGUAACCUGCCUGUAAGACUGGGAUAACUCCGGGAAACCGGAGCUAAUACCGGAUAGUUCCUUGAACCGCAUGGUUCAAGGAUGAAAGACGGUUUCGGCUGUCACUUACAGAUGGACCCGCGGCGCAUUAGCUAGUUGGUGGGGUAAUGGCUCACCAAGGCGACGAUGCGUAGCCGACCUGAGAGGGUGAUCGGCCACACUGGGACUGAGACACGGCCCAGACUCCUACGGGAGGCAGCAGUAGGGAAUCUUCCGCAAUGGACGAAAGUCUGACGGAGCAACGCCGCGUGAGUGAUGAAGGUUUUCGGAUCGUAAAGCUCUGUUGUUAGGGAAGAACAAGUGCGAGAGUAACUGCUCGCACCUUGACGGUACCUAACCAGAAAGCCACGGCUAACUACGUGCCAGCAGCCGCGGUAAUACGUAGGUGGCAAGCGUUGUCCGGAAUUAUUGGGCGUAAAGGGCUCGCAGGCGGUUUCUUAAGUCUGAUGUGAAAGCCCCCGGCUCAACCGGGGAGGGUCAUUGGAAACUGGGAAACUUGAGUGCAGAAGAGGAGAGUGGAAUUCCACGUGUAGCGGUGAAAUGCGUAGAGAUGUGGAGGAACACCAGUGGCGAAGGCGACUCUCUGGUCUGUAACUGACGCUGAGGAGCGAAAGCGUGGGGAGCGAACAGGAUUAGAUACCCUGGUAGUCCACGCCGUAAACGAUGAGUGCUAAGUGUUAGGGGGUUUCCGCCCCUUAGUGCUGCAGCUAACGCAUUAAGCACUCCGCCUGGGGAGUACGGUCGCAAGACUGAAACUCAAAGGAAUUGACGGGGGCCCGCACAAGCGGUGGAGCAUGUGGUUUAAUUCNAAGCAACGCGAAGAACCUUACCAGGUCUUGACAUCCUCUGACAACCCUAGAGAUAGGGCUUCCCUUCCGGGACAGAGUGACAAGUGGUGCAUGGUUGUC